AACUUCUUUUUGUUGUUGUCUGAAAGCAGAUCUUCCUGCACACUUUGUGUUGUUUGCUUGCUGGGAUCAGAGCAAGGCGACCUGACACAGCUGCCACCCGGACAAAACCAGAGCAAACAAAACCUCAGUAAUUUGUGUUCUGUGCCAUCGUUAAAUAAACAGUCAUGUCAGCUAUAUUAGUAAUGACCAAGCAGUCAGAUGAGUCAGACGCUGAGUGUUGCACCUGAGAAGAUGCUUCGUUCCAUUUGUCUGCAGCUGUUUUUCUGCUACACCGUGAGCGCCAGCUACUUUAAGGAGGAUCCACCACCCAGACCUUCCUGCCCAGCUGCCUGCGUUAGUCGGUCAGACUUCAACGAACUGCAGAAAAACUGGACCAGCUGGAUGCUAAAUUGAAAGAGAACAUCGAAAUCACUGAGGACUUAAAGAGGAGAGCAAACAGUAAGGUGGCAUUCACUGCAGUCUUAGGAAGAACUGGACGAGUAGGACCCUUCAAAACAGACCGAUUUUUAGUCUACAAAAGAGUCAUUAAAAACCUUGGCCAUGGUUACAAUCCCAAGACUGGUAUCUUCACCGCACCAUUUG